ACCGCUUUUAUAACCUUAACGGAUCAGGAUUCGAACGGAGUAUCCGUCAUUCGCCACAUCUUAGCCGCUUAAAUUAGGGUUCACCCACCUUUCACAGCUCUAAAACCCUUCGCAUAACAAUUCUGAACAGUCCCUUAUUCUCCAUUUAGGAGACCAAGGGAAAUUUGAGGAAAGAAAAUAAAAAGGAGGAGGCAGAUUUCAGGUUUGUGCGUGAAUUUAAUAAAACCGUAAGCCACAAAAAUCUGGAAGGUGGAUUUAGUUUCAUGUUAGAUUCACGCACAAACUCGUAAUCUGUCUUUUCAUUCUUUCCUUAUCGUUUCUACAGGUCGCUCUCUGUCCAAAAUUUUCUCCUUUCCCCUAAACGAAAUUGCCAUUUUUAAUCUCUAAGUUUGGAGAACGAAAGGAAAAAUUUAGCUGCUCUUGCCAAGCCUACCUGCUGAUAUAAAGAAGGAAGCAGCAACUCUCUAAAAGUUCAAGUUUGCUUGAUGUAGGAUUUGCUACAGGCCAUAAUUUGAUGAAGAAAGCAGAAGGGGAAUUAUACAUGUUGCAUGGCUGUUAUGAAUCAGUGAUCACAGCACAAACGGCUUCCAUAAUCAAGGGUGUGAGGUGUUUCGAGACAUCAUGAGCUCAUGGCCUCAGCCACCCAGGUUAUCUCUUCUCCUUAUGCAUAAAGUUUGUUUCAUUUAUUGGUAACCCUUAAUUAAUAUUGGUGUCAUUCUGAAAAUUGACCCUGUCUGUUUGGAAGCAAUGCAAAUUGAAAUAUAUAUUUUACCUGA